rnacentral:rRNA from 1 species
AUGAAUUUGGUGCUUGCACCAGAUGAAACUAGAUACAAGCGAGCGGCGGACGGGUGAGUAACACGUGGGUAACCUGCCCAAGAGACUGGGAUAACACCUGGAAACAGAUGCUAAUACCGGAUAACAACACUAGACGCAUGUCUAGAGUUUAAAAGAUGGUUCUGCUAUCACUCUUGGAUGGACCUGCGGUGCAUUAGCUAGUUGGUAAGGUAACGGCUUACCAAGGCAAUGAUGCAUAGCCGAGUUGAGAGACUGAUCGGCCACAUUGGGACUGAGACACGGCCCAAACUCCUACGGGAGGCAGCAGUAGGGAAUCUUCCACAAUGGACGCAAGUCUGAUGGAGCAACGCCGCGUGAGUGAAGAAGGGUUUCGGCUCGUAAAGCUCUGUUGGUAGUGAA